AACGAACGCUGGCGGCAUGCCUAACACAUGCAAGUCGAACGAAGGCUUCGGCUUAGUGGCGCACGGUUGCGUAACGCGUGGGAAUCUGCCCUUGGGUUCGGAAUAACUCAGAGAAAUUUGAGCUAAUACCGGAUGAUGACGUAAGUCCAAAGAUUUAUCGCCCAAGGAUGAGCCCGCGUAAGAUUAGCUAGUUGGUGGGGUAAAGGCCUACCAAGGCGACGAUCUUUAGUCUGGUCGUGAGAGGAGUGAUCAGCCACACUGGGACGUGAGACACGGCCCGACGACUCCUACCGGGAGGGCGAGCAGUGGGGAAGGUAAUUGGUACGAAUA
rnacentral:rRNA from 1 species